CUAGAAGGUUGCAAUGAGAGACUGAUAGACCACAAGACCCACAUACCUCAAUCUCUGGCUGGUUGCUUGCACACAGAAGACAUACAGGCAGAACACCCCUUUGGCUCUGAUUGCAUGCUGCCAUGUGCAUGGUGACAAACAGCUCCUCCUGCUCCAUCUUUGAGAGCCAACCUGUGUGACUCAGGGGAUAUCUCUGGAAAUUCUUAUGGAUGUUACGGUCUUCAUGAGUCUGUAGCUGCCUUAUGUCAUGGAGGCAAAGGCCACCCAAGAUAGGAUGCCUAGGACUAGCUUAAUGUUUAUCAGUACUUGUACAGGGUUCACGUUACCCCUGUCUAAUGCUAAAGUCCACUCACAAUAUACCUGCUUUCAGCUGUACUUCAGACAAAAAAAAAAAAAAAAUCACUGCCUUGUUCCUUUGUAAGCAAUACUGAAGCUUUCUUCUCUUUUCUUCUGCCUGCAUUUAUCAUCCUCUAUGAAGCCACAGAAACAGAGGUUCUACAGAGGUACAAGUCAGGAAGACUGAUGGGAUGGAGAGCUAUUGGAAAAAGCUACUGACAAGGUAACACCACUGACCACAGCAAAAGUUGCACAGCACAGCCAACAGGAAAGAGGAAGACAAACAAUGUGAAUCAACACAGAAUGCUGGUCAGAAUGCAGAAGAUACAUUGCCAUGAACUGCUCAUGCUAGAAAUAUUGAGUGAAAAAUGGGAAUUUGCCAGAAAGCAACAUUAAAAAUAAAGUCCGACCCCAUUCUGCCUGACCAGAACACAGCACUAGGAGUUGUGCUGCCCAUUCUCAGUAAGUGACAAACAAAAUAAAGAUUGGUAUGAAUGAUGAAAAGAAGGAAAGCUCCACGAAAAGAUGGUGGGCUUUGUGCAGUUGAUGGCCUGCAAAUUCUGGUUUGGCAGUACUGAACUAGGAGCACUUCAAGUCAACAUUAGCUCUGGACUGUCUGUUCUCACCUGCGCUUUUGUUUGCCCAGAGCUGGAGGUCACAUCAAGAAAUAUGUAACGUGUUUUAAAAUACAAACCUUUUUGAUAACUCAUGCUAACUUUAUUUUAGUCACCGGGACCUCUUUCUCCCCUGGAAACAAAGCCAGA
rnacentral:lncRNA from 1 species